UCCGUAGGUGAACCUGCGGAGGGAUCAUUACCGAGUUUACAACUCCCAAACCCCUGUGAACAUACCUUAAUGUUGCCUCGGCGGAUCAGCCCGCGCCCCGUAAAACGGGACGGCCCGCCAGAGGACCCAAACUCUAAUGUUUCUUAUUGUAACUUCCGAGUAAAACAAACAAAUAAAUCAAAACUUUCAACAACGGAUCUCUUGGUUCUGGCAUCGAUGAAGAACGCAGCAAAAUGCGAUAAGUAAUGUGAAUUGCAGAAUUCAGUGAAUCAUCGAAUCUUUGAACGCACAUUGCGCCCGCUGGUAUUCCGGCGGGCAUGCCUGUUCGAGCGUCAUUUCAACCCUCAAGCCCUCGGGUUUGGUGUUGGGGAUCGGCUCCGCCUUCUGGCGGUGCCGCCCCCGAAAUACAUUGGCGGUCUCGCUGCAGCCUCCAUUGCGUAGUAGCUAACACCUCGCAACUGGAACGCGGCGCGACCAUGCCGUAAAACCCCAACUUCUGAAUGUUGACCUCGGAUCAGGUAGGAAUACCCGCUGAACUUAAGCAUAUCAAUAAGCGGAGGA
rnacentral:rRNA from 1 species